UACGAAGGGUGCAAGCGUUACUUGGAAUUACUGGGCGUAAAGCGUGCGUAGGUGGUUCGUUAAGUCUGAUGUGAAAGCCCUGGGCUCAACCUGGGAAUGGCAUUGGAAACUGGCGACCUAGAGUGCGGUAGAGGGCAGUGGAAUUCCCGGUGUAGCAGUGAAAUGCGUAGAGAUCGGGAGGAACAUCUGUGGCGAAGGCGACUGCCUGGACCAGCACUGACACUGAGGCACGAAAGCGUGGGGAGCAAACAGG
rnacentral:rRNA from 1 species